rnacentral:tRNA from 1 species
UGGGGGAUCGUCUAAUGGUAGGACUGCAGACUUUGGAUCUGCUAAUCUAGGUUCGAUUCCUAGUCCCCCAGCCA